UUUUGUAUUUUUAGUAGAGACGGGAUUUCAUCGUGUUGGCCAGGCUGGUCUCGAACUCCUGACCUCAAGUGAACCGCCUGCUUCGGCCUCCCAAAGUGCUGGAUUGCAGGCGGGAGCCACCGUGCGUGGCCUAUUAAGAAUUUUCUGAAUGAGCAAUUAACAACUCUUCAGGCAAGGAAUUUGUACUUUAGAGUAGUUGAAUAUAAUUCCUCAUGGUUAUGCUUAAAGAGAAUCCCUAUUUAGAAAUGUAAGUGACAAUAUGUAUGGAUAAAAUGAAAAAUAAAACCGCACACCAGGUGAUAUGACUAGGACCAAGCGGGAGCUGGAGUUUCAGCCCUGGCUGCCCUGCUUGCUAUAUCACCAUCGUGUCCACAGUGCAUGUGAUGCAUGCAUCUGGGUGUAGCUGUCACUCUUCUUAACACCCUCCCACCAGAGCGACACCACAGGCAAGCUGGGCUUUGAGGAAUUCAAGUACUUGUGGAACAACAUCAAAAGGUGGCAGGCCAUAUACAAACAGUUCGACACUGACCGAUCAGGGACCAUUUGCAGUAGUGAACUCCCAGGGGCCUUUGAGGCAGCAGGGUUCCACCUGAAUGAGCAUCUCUAUAACAUGAUCAUCCGACGCUACUCAGAUGAAAGUGGGAACAUGGAUUUUGACAACUUCAUCAGCUGCUUGGUCAGGCUGGACGCCAUGUUCCGUG
rnacentral:sRNA from 1 species